rnacentral:rRNA from 1 species
AUGGAGAAGCAUGACCGCUAUGUACUAUAUGUGCUGGACAAAUACAAAUACAAAGUUCACAUUAUUUAUCCUCGAGAAACGACUCACGAGGAAUUUGAGAAAGAAAAGAUAGACAUCGGAAAAUUGCAUCCAAAAGAAGCAUCUCGAGUUCUUCAGGAAAAUGAAGAUGCUAAAGAAGAAAGGGAAAGACAGUUUCAAGAAUAUCAUGUUCAUAAGUCGGUACCUAGGUUUAAAGAAGUCUUCAACAUCAUACUAGGACAAACAAUGAAUGCCAAGGGUACAAGAUGGCAGAUUCAUACCGUGUAA